UCUCUUCUCUCAAUCUCCCCCCCGUCUUCUCCUCUCUCUCUUUCUCUGUCCAGUCCCCAGCGCGCGACACGGGUCAAGCUCCCAGCCGCCGCCGGCGAUCGCCGGAGCUAGGAGCCGGUGGCUCUGAGCAAGCACGGCCCGUAGCCAUGGUGAGGAGCGCGAGUAUGCGGCGGUCCUCCGUGCCCACGCCGGCGGCGGUGCCGGCGUUCACCGUGUCGCCCGGCGACUACCGCCUGCUGGAGGAAGUGGGCUACGGCGCCAACGCCGUCGUCUACCGCGCGGUGUUCAUCCCAACCAACCGAACGGUCGCUGUGAAGUGCCUGGAUCUCGAUCGGGUCAACAGUAACCUUGAUGAUGUAAGAAAGGAAGCUCAAACUAUGAGCUUGAUAGAUCACCCUAACAUCAUCAGGUCUUACUGCUCAUUUGUUGUGGAUCAUAACCUUUGGGUGGUAAUGCCAUUCAUGUCAGAGGGUUCAUGUUUGCACCUCAUGAAGGUUGCAUAUCCUGAUGGUUUUGAUGAGCCUAUUAUCGCCUCUAUUCUUAAGGAAACACUCAAAGCCCUAGAAUACCUCCAUAGGCAAGGACAUAUUCAUCGUGAUGUGAAGGCAGGUAAUAUCCUUAUUGAUAGUCCUGGUGUAGUCAAGCUUGGGGACUUCGGCGUCUCUGCUUGCAUGUUUGAUAGAGGUGAUAGGCAAAGGGCUAGAAAUACAUUUGUGGGAACGCCAUGCUGGAUGGCUCCAGAAGUUCUCCAGCCUGGAACCGGAUAUAACUUCAAAGCUGAUAUAUGGUCAUUUGGAAUAACUGCACUGGAGCUAGCACAUGGACAUGCUCCCUUUUCGAAGUAUCCUCCCAUGAAGGUUCUUCUCAUGACGCUUCAAAAUGCUCCUCCAGGUCUUGAUUAUGACCGCGAUAAAAAAUUCUCAAAGUCCUUCAAGGAAAUGGUUGCGAUGUGCUUGGUGAAAGAUCAAACAAAGAGGCCAACAGCUGAAAAGUUACUUAAGCAUUCUUUUUUCAAGAAUGCAAAGCCUCCGGAGCUGACCGUUAAGAGUGUUUUAACUGAUUUGCCCCCUCUUUGGGAUCGGGUUAAGGCACUCCAGCUAAAAGAUGCAGCACAGCUGGCUUUGAAGAGAAUGCCUUCUUCAGAACAGGAAGCACUUUCCAUGAGUGAGUACCAACGAGGUGUUAGUGCAUGGAACUUUGAUAUCGAGGAUCUAAAGGCUCAAGCAUCACUGAUUUGUGAUGACGAUCCACUUGAAUUAAAAGAAGACGAUGACAGUGCUAGAAUAACAGACAUUGAUAAGGAUACAUCUUCUGACGGUCAUUUUGGAAAGCCGACACAGUUGAAUGGAAAUAACUGCAGUGAAAGAACUUCUGCUGAGCAAGGUCAAAAUGGCCCCGAAAGAAGUGAAGCAUUGUCUUCCAAUAAUGGUAGUGCCCAUAGUGAAAGGAAGGCUGAUGGACCUAAAAAUCCAGGAUCAGAAAUUGAUUUGUUGCCCUCUACAUCACCAGAUGGGAAAAAUUGUAAAAGUGAAGUCAGGCAAAAACAAAGGACAUAUUCUGGUCCAAUUAUGCAAUCUGGCCUGCAUAAUAGUUCGAUGACUGAAAGGGGUCACAUUGUUGAAAGGGAUGUAGGAGGUCAAUCUGUAUCUGAUAAACAAAAGAAUGGUACAAGAAGAACCAAUAAUCUUAGCGGUCCUCUGUCACUCCCAACUCGUGCUUCUGCAAACAGUCUUUCUGCUCCUAUUCGAUCAUCUGCUGGUUAUGUAGGCUCUUUGGGUGAUAAACCUAAGCGUACUAUGGUGGAAAUUAAAGGCCGCUUCUCAGUGACAUCUGAGAAUGUGGAUCUUGCAAAGGUUCAAGAAGUUCCAAUGAGCAGUGCCUCAUGCAAAUUGCAAGAGGGACCUUCACUGAGAAAAUCAGCAAGUGUCGGUGAUUGGUCAGUUAAUGCCAAGACAAUGUCUACUAGUCAUCAACGGAAGGAACUCUGCAAUAGCUCUGUAUCUUCAUCAGUUCUGAUUCCCCAUCUUCAAAACCUUGUAAAGCAGACCGUAUUUCAGCAAGAUCUGAUUACAAACCUACUAAGUAGUUUGCAGCAAAAUGAGAGAGUUGAUGACCAGUCAAGAGUUCAGAGUAUUGGAAGUGAUACGGUGGUUGAAGCAUCUACGGCUGAGGGAGAACGCUCCAUACUUGUUAAAAUUUUUGAAUUACAAUCUAGUUCCCUGCCUCAUUCCAUGCUUCUACCUGCCAUUGAUGUCUCACUCUCCACUUCAUGAAUGAUUUCUUUAACUGAUGAAUUGAUUGCGGCAAAGCUGAAACAUGUUCAGCUGCAAGGAGAGCUAAAUGCGCUGUACUGCCAAGAAGAAAUUGUUGACAGGAGAGAGGACGAAAAUGAGGAGGCGUGAUGUGUUAAAGAGGGCCUUUUCUUACUAGUAGGAGGGGAACUAAAAGCAGCAUGCUCCGGGGUGAUGCAAUCGAGGCUUGCCUCACUGGUUGCCCUCAAGGUUUUUAAGGUGCAUUGGUGCAGAGCCAGCUAACUCCGGGUCUCAUCAGAGAAGAAUAUUGCUGCGCAAAAUUGAGUACUUGCAAUGAGUUUGAAGGAGAGAGGGGAGAGCUCUUCGAGGUGUAUGAUCAUCGAUGGUCGCCUUGGGAUUGACCUGUUGCUACAGAUAUGUAUAUUCGGUCGAUCCGCUAUAGUCGGGGUUUAGUUGUUGAGUGAGUUUUAGUUGCUGUUUUUGGCAGUGUGCGUUCAUUUUGGUCGCACCGAUCGUUGAGAUGGCCAUGAUGCCAGCCUCUAAUAUACUAGUAUAGCAGUAUAGUACCAUUGUACCGCAGAAAGACUGCGAGAAUAAUCGCAUCGCGUCUAGGAACAGCAGGAUGUAUAUGUAGCAACUUACUGUAUAAGUUAGCGCCUUGUUUUUGCAAAUACAAUCGCUGCUGUUUCGAAACACC